rnacentral:misc_RNA from 1 species
GAUGAAGAACGCAGUGAAAUGCGAUAAUUUAUGUGAAUUGCAGAAUUCAGUGAAUCAUCGAGUCUUUGAACGCACAUUGCGCCCCCUGGUAUUCCGGGGGGCAUGCCUGUCCGAGCGUCAUUGCUGCCCUCAAGCACGGCUUGUGUGUUGGGCUUCCGUCCCUGGCAACGGGGACGGGCCCAAAAGGCAGUGGCGGCACCAUGUCUGGUCCUCGAGCGUAUGGGGCUUUGUCACCCGCUCCCGUAGGUCCAGCUGGCAGCUAGCCUCGCAACCAAUCUUUUUAACCAGGUUGACCUCGGAUCAGGUAGGGAUACCCGCUGAACUUAAGCAUAUCAAUAAGCGGAGGA